rnacentral:misc_RNA from 1 species
AUUUAGUCCAGCCUAACUUAACUGUUACAACUACCAUUACCAUCCAGCUAAUUUCCCGCUAUUGUAUAACUUAAAUAUUUCCUACAAUUCUUGACUAGUGUUUCAGAAGAAGCAGCGGAGAAUCGAACCGUAGGCAUCUUUCCAGAAGUAGGGAGAGAGAUAGAGAUAGAUACAGGGACGGAGACAGAGACAGGCAUCACAGGAGGCGAAGUAGG